rnacentral:rRNA from 1 species
UACGUAGGGGGCUAGCGUUGUCCGGAUUUAUUGGGCGUAAAGAGCGUGUAGGCGGCCAGGUAGGUCUGCUGUGAAAACUCGAGGCUUAACCUCGAGAUGUCGGCGGAAACCAUCUGGCUAGAGUCCGGAAGAGGAGAGUGGAAUUCCUGGUGUGGCGGUGAAAUGCGCAGAUAUCAGGAAGAACACCCGUGGCGAAGGCGGCUCUCUGGGACGGUACUGACGCUGAGACGCGAAAGCGUGGGGAGCAAACCGG